rnacentral:misc_RNA from 1 species
CCUUUACCAUAGGGACAAAAUGUUGUAAUGAUGAGACCGAUGUCCGGAACAGCAGAUCGAUCUCAGAUUUGAGCAUAUCGGGAGGCGCCUUGAAGAAAUUGUAGAUCGUCUUAGUGCUUUGAGAACUAAAAUAAACAGGAAUUGAGUUGACAAAAGAAGGCUAGGAGAUGGUGUUGCUUACGGUGACCCUAUUUAUCAACCAAUUUCUGUACAUAAGCAAUAUGUCUACUAUGAUGAUUCGGAGGAGGAAAAUGACUAUGAACCAAUCAAGUUCAGUAUGCAUGAUUGGUAUGGUGGUGAUAAGAGAAGAAGCGUGGGUUAUCUUGAUAUUCCUAUUUUCUAUGAGGAUCUUAAUAUAGAGGAAUUUUUAGAUUGG